rnacentral:rRNA from 1 species
ACGGGAGGCAGCAGUGAGGAAUAUUGGUCAAUGGGCGGAAGCCUGAACCAGCCAAGUCGCGUGAAGGAUGAAGGUAUUAUGUAUUGUAAACUUCUUUAGCAGCAGAGUAAUAAGGGAGUCGUGACUCCUGAUGCAAGUAUGCUGAAAAUAAGGACCGGCUAAUUCCGUGCCAGCAGCCGCGGUAAUACGGAAGGUCCGGGCGUUAUCCGGAUUUAUUGGGUUUAAAGGGAGCGUAGGCCGUGCUUUAAGCGUGUUGUGAAAUGUAGGCGCCCAACGUCUGCACUGCAGCGCGAACUGGAGCACUUGAGUACGCAGGAAGUAGGCGGAAUUCGUCGUGUAGCGGUGAAAUGCUUAGAUAUGACGAAGAACUCCGAUUGGGAAGCCAGCUUACUGUAGCGCCACUGACGCUGAUGCUCGAAAGCGUGGGUAUCGAACAGGAUUAGAUACCCUGGUA